GAUAAAAUGGCUGAGAUUUAAGGUGAUAGAUUGUAAAUUUAUUAAGGAGAUUUUUCUCUUUUACCA
rnacentral:tRNA from 1 species